UAGUAACUGCGAGUGAAGCGGGAAAAGCUCAAAUUUAAAAUCUGGCAGAUGCUUGUCUGUCCGAGUUGUAACCUAGAGAAGUGUAACCUGUGCUGGACCAUGUACAAGUCUCCUGGAAUGGAGCAUCAUAGAGGGUGAGAAUCCUGUCUUUGACACGGACUACCAGUGCAUUGUGGUUGCGUACUCAACGAGUCGAGUUGUUUGGGAAUGCAGCUCUAAAUGGGUGGUAAAUUCCAUCUAAAGCUAAAUAUUGGCGAGAGACCGAUAGCGAACAAGUACCGUGAGGGAAAGAUGAAAAGAACUUUGGAAAGAGAGUUAAACAGUAUGUGAAAUUGUUGAAAGGGAAACGCUUGAAGUCAGCUGCAUUGGCUGGGGAUCAAGCCAGCUUAUUUGCUGGGUGUACUUCCUGGUUGAUGGGCCAACAUCAGUUUUGACCAUCAGAGAAAGGCAGAGGGAAUGUGGCACCUUUAUAGGUGUGUUAUAGCCCUUGGUUGUAUGUGGUGGUUGGGACUGAGGAUAGCAGCGUGCCACAAGGCCGGGUUUCGACCACGUUCACGCUUUGGAUGUUGGCAUAAUGGCUUUAAGCGACCCGUCUUGAAACACGGACCAAGGAGUCUAACAUGCAUGCAAGUGUUUGGGUGGAAAACUCAAGUGCAUAAUGAAAGUGAAAGUUGAGAUCCCUCUCACAGGGGAGCAUCGACGCCCGGACCAGAACUUUUGGGACGGAUCUGCGGUAGAGCAAGCAUGUUGGGACCCGAAAGAUGGUGAACUAUGCCUGAAUAGGGUGAAGCCAGAGGAAACUCUGGUGGAGGCUCGUAGCGAUUCUGACGUGCAAAUCGAUCGUCGAAUUUGGGUAU
rnacentral:rRNA from 1 species